AUUGAACGCUGGCGGCAGGCCUAACACAUGCAAGUCGAGCGGAGCGGCGGGAGGGUGAGUAAUGACUAGGAAUGUGCCAGGUAGUGGGGGAUAACGUCAGGAAACGGGAGCUAAUAAUGAAUACUCUGAGAUGAGCCUGUGUCGGAUUAGCUAGUUGGAGGGGUAAAGGCACACCAAGGCGACGAUCCGUAACUGGUCUGAGAGGAUGAUCAGUCACACUGGAACUGAGACACGGUCCAGACUCCUCCGGGAGGCAGCAGUGGGGAAUAUUGGACAAUGGGCGAAAGCCUGAUCCAGCCAUGCCGCGUGUGUGAAGAAGGUCUUCGGAUUGUAAAGCACUUUAAGUUGGGAGGCGUUACCAACAGAAUAAGCACCGGCUAACUUCGUGCCAGCAGCCGCGGUAAUUC
rnacentral:rRNA from 1 species